CCAGACUCCUACGGGAGGCAGCAGUGGGGAAUAUUGCACAAUGGGCGCAAGCCUGAUGCAGCCAUGCCGCGUGUAUGAAGAAGGCCUUCGGGUUGUAAAGUACUUUCAGUCGGGAGGAAGGUGGUAAGGUUAAUAACCUUAUCAAUUGACGUUACCGACAGAAGAAGCACCGGCUAACUCCGUGCCAGCAGCCGCGGUAAUACGGAGGGUGCAAGCGUUAAUCGGGAUUACUGGGCGUAAAGCGCACGCAGGCGGUCUGUCAAGUCGGAUGUGAAAUCCCCGGGCGCAACCUGGGAACUGCAUUCGAAACUGGCAGGCUGGAGUCUUGUAGAGGGGGGUAGAAUUCCAGGUGUAGCGGGGAAAUGCGUAGAGAUCUGGAGGAAUACCGGUGGCGAAGGCGGCCCCCUGGACAAAGACUGACGCUCAGGGGCGAAAGCGUGGGGAGCAAACAGGAUUAGAUACCCUAGUAUC
rnacentral:rRNA from 1 species